AAAAUUACAUUGGCGCUACAUGGCCAAAAAAGUCUUCUAUACGUGCUUAAACCAUGUUUUUGCCUUCUCAAGUGCCUCAGAGCCAAAGAAUUCUUUCACCUUGAGGCCCACGACGAUCUCAAUGAGACUUUUGUUUGAGGGACGAAAAACAUUUUGUAAGGCGCCGGGGAUGGCAGCUCCAAUAUCCGCGAAGUCUGGAAAUACAACAUUUGUACGAGCUCAACAAGAAGGCAUAUUCUGGCAUCAGCGAUUUCAACAAAGAUUAGUGCUUAACAUCAAGUCUAUGAUGAGUGCAAGACCGACUACAACCAUGCUCUGAUACCAAAUUGACACAUCCCAACCCAGAAUUUCCAUGUGUCCAUCCAAAUUGUCAUGAGUUGGCCGUCACCCGGAGGAUGACAAAGCCAUAAAGUAGGGUUAAUGUGUAAAAGUGAGGAUAAAUUUAAACUUUAAAUAAAUAAACCAGAGUGCACAACGUGAUUGGGUGGUAACCCUUAUUACAAAAUAUGAAGUUCAGAGUAUAAUGCAAAAAGAUAAAAGUUGUCUCAUCCGUAAAUGAUGAUUAUUUAAUACAUAAGCAACUUACUUUGACUUAAGGACAGUCAACUACUUCCACUAGAACCUCGUACUCCCACAAGAUCAAUCUUUACGUCCUGGAGGGGUGAAAAACAAAGGUGAAUGGGCCUAAAAAAUAAAGUUUUCUAAAACCUUUUUGAAAAUGUGUAACCCCUCGUUGUAAAACAAGUAUAUAAUUUCCCAAAGUAAUAAUAUAAUAAUAGGUAGUAGGGAACCCUGCAGCAUAAAUGAGUUAAAGGAUAUAGGGUGCUACUACGAAAUAUCUUAUCAUCAAAACUCAAAUAGCUAUCAUAAAAUCGUAAAUCCUGAAAAUCAUUAAAAAUUCAUUGCUAUGAAAAUCACUACUCAUUAUCUAUGUAGGCACACAAGUCAUACAGAAAGUCGCUGCAUGAACAGGUUGGGUGUAGGUUUUACGUUAUAGUACUACAUCACGUGAAGUUGGCGCUACGCGCAUCACAUACAAGUCCAAACAACAAACCUAGGGAUAGGCUGGCACCUAACUCUGGAUCUAAAGCGAACAUAAACGGUGCAUGUGAACAUACGUGAAGCUAGUCCUUGGCCCAGGAUAGUACAACUAACUAAUAAACACCAUGUAGACAUGUUACAAUGAGCAGGUAUAAUGAAUAAAGAUGUCAUGCCACAUUUUAUACUCGUAGUUAAUAAAAACAUAAAGUGUAGAAAAUCUAGUAAGAAGAUAAACAUGGCAUGUCACAUCAAUUAUGUAAAGAAACAGUUA
rnacentral:lncRNA from 1 species